rnacentral:snRNA from 1 species
GGAUGCGAGGGCGAUCUGGCUGCGACAUCUGUCACCCCAUUGAUCGCCAGGGUUGAUUCGGCUGAUCUGGCUGGCUAGGCGGGUGUCUCCUUCCUCUCUCACUGCUCCAUGUGUGUCCCUUCCGAAGCUGCACGCUCGGUCGAAGAGGACGACCUUCCCCGAUGGAGGAGGACCGAUGGAGGAGGACCGUUCUUCAGUCAAGGGUAUACGAGUAGCUGUGCUCCCCUGAUAGAACCUCUUCCUCUCUCACUGCUCCAUGUGUGUCCCUUCCGAAGCUGCACGCUCGGUCGAAGAGGACGACCUUCCCCGAUGGAGGAGGACCGAUGGAGGAGGACCGUUCUUCAGUCAAGGGUAUACGAGUAGCUGUGCUCCCCUGAU